UACGAAGGGUGCAAGCGUUACUCGGAAUUACUGGGCGUAAAGCGUGCGUAGGUGGUUUGUUAAGUCUGAUGUGAAAUCCCCGGGCUUAACCUGGGAACUGCAUUUGGGACUGCAAGGCUUGAGUGCGGCAGAGGAGACUGGAAUUCCUGGUGUAGCAGUGAAAUGCGUAGAUAUCAGGAGGAACACCGAUGGCGAAGGCAGGUCUCUGGGCUGACACUGACGCUCAUGCACGAAAGCGUGGGGAGCAAACAGG
rnacentral:rRNA from 1 species